CUAUAUAUAACACCAAACUCAUAUUUUAUGUUAGGUUACGUCAUCACUUUUUAUAGGAAAAUAAAAAUAGAAUCGCUCGGUUGAGAUUAUUGCUGUUAUUUAAUCUAACGGAUGGAAUUUUAGUUUCAUUAGAAGUCUGAUGUCAUCAAUCAUAAUGCAAAGGGCAUCUCUUUCGUUUCCUUUUUCUGAAUCGUCAUUUCUCAAAAGACACAACCUUUUAAAAUAAAAUAUUUUGACAAAUUUAUAUAUUGUUUCUUUAUGCCUUUCACUUCAUCAUCUAUCUUCCAAUCUUAUUUUCCAUUCAGACUUAUCAUCCUUUAUUCAUGUUUUCGGGGUCACUCUGUGGAUUUUUUUCUUUAUGGAAUAUUCUUAUCCGAUUUCACUACCAAUAAAUUUAAUGGAGUACUUGUUUCUCUGUCGUUGAUCUGCACGUGAAUUUACCAAUGCCCUUGAUUUUUUUUUAUAUUCUCUUUUUUUUUGCUGAUAACUUCCACUUUAUUUUUGUCUCCCCAACCCACUGAUUACUUAAUUUAUUGUUUGUGCGGCGUUACUCAAUUUCAGACAAUCUUUCUCAAAAACUCAUAAUACUCCUCUGGUAACGUUUUCCUACCAUAAUUACAGAGUAAGUAUAGGAUCCAUGAUUCAAAACCACUUAUUUGUUUCUAUGUAUCUCCAAAUAAAAAAUGUACCUUUCUAGACUGAAUCGCUGUCAAAAUACCAGUGAAUAGAAGUAUACAUAUAACUCCCUAAAAUUGUUUCAUUUACUAAACGUUUCCAAAUGAAGAGUUAUUAUUUUCGGUUCAGAUAAUUAUGAAUCUCCGAAGCUGAUUGUCGUCGCUUGUCUGUUUAAUUUCCUGAAUUAGUUUUUAACCGAAAGGUAACUUUUACUACAUUUGUUGGUUGUCCAUGCAUGUAAGAUAGACAUGUCGUUAAACGGCUUGCAUAAACGUUUCCAAAUGAAGAGUUAUGAUUUUCGGUUCAGAUAAUUAUGAAUCUCCAAAGCUGAUUGUCGUCGCUUGUAUUUUUAAUUUCCUGAAUUAGUUUUUAACCGAAAGGUAACUUUUACUACAUUUGUUGGUUGUCCAUGCAUGUAAGAUAGACAUGUCGUUAAACGGAUUGCAUAGAUUAUAGAUAUGAUUUGUCUAACGAGAGUAAAUAGAUUGUAGAUUUAGGUCUGUUUCUUGUUACUCUAAUAACAAAACACAGUGGAUGUUUUUAGUCAAAAAAAACACUGUGGUUAAAAUGUUCAUUUCGUUUUCUGUUUGCGGCCGGACAAGAGGAGGAGAUACAUUGAUCGAUGUGUUUCCUUCUCACUGAACAAUUACUGUCUCGACUCGCCUUGGGGACCAGAUUCAAUCGGGAGUCUUUGUUUGACAAGAAUCUGAUUGUCUGCAAUCACACUUUUGGAAAGUACAUGCCGAACCAUCCUGACAGAAAACAACUUGCAGUCGGCAGCCGCCUUAAUCGACCGUUCUUUUAAAUCUGCCGAUGUAGUCUCAUGACACUAAUUCAAAGAUUACUAUACCAAGCUUAUUUUGAUAUGAUGAAGUUAUGAUUAUAUUAACCUGUCCAAAUUGUAAUUUUAGGAGAAAGUUACAUAUAUGAGAUAUACAUAGGCAUGUUGAAAA